AUCCAGCGAACUUGGCAGAGAUGCCUUGGUGCCUUCGGGAACGCUGAGACAGGUGCUGCAUGGCUGUCGUCAGCUCGUGUUGUGAAAUGUUGGGUUAAGUCCCGCAACGAGCGCAACCCUUAUCCUUUGUUGCCAGCGAUUCGGUCGGGAACUCAAAGGAGACUGCCGGUGAUAAACCGGAGGAAGGUGGGGAUGACGUCAAGUCAUCAUGGCCCUUACGAGUAGGGCUACACACGUGCUACAAUGGCGCAUACAAAGAGAAGCGACCUCGCGAGAGCAAGCGGAACCUCAUAAAGUGCGUCGUAGUCCGGAUCGGAGUCUGCAACUCGACUCCGUGAAGUCGGAAUCGCUAGUAAUCGUGGAUCAGAAUGCCACGGUGAAUACGUUCCCGGGCCUUGUACACACCGCCCGUCACACCAUGGGAGUGGGUUGCAAAAGAAGUAGGUAGCUUAACCUUCGGGAGGGCGCUUACCACUUUGUGAUUCAUGACUGGGGUGAAGUCGUAACAAGGUAAGCGUAGCGAG
rnacentral:rRNA from 1 species